UAAUUUCUCUCUCAUCGCUCAAACAGAACGCGGCUUAUUUUCUCCCCCCUUAUUUCUCUCAUCUGAAAUGAACGCGAACUAUCAAUUCCAUCUUCAUCCGGUAAAUUGAUUCGGUCGACCCCUUCCCUCAUUCGAAGCGAUCACUGCAAAACAAGAGAAGCGUUCCAAAUCGAUAGUUCGCUGCACAACUGCUAUCACUUAGUGUUCCAAAUCUGAAGCCCUAAUCCUG
rnacentral:lncRNA from 1 species